GGCCAGAAGAUACCAAUUCACCAGUGAUCAAGAGAGGGAAGCCACCGGCAAAUUGAGAUUCGGAGGUUUUCUUUUUUUGGUUUGAAAAUGAAGGGGUUACGACUGACGUCCGGCACCACCGUCUGUCGGGGUAGUCAUCGCAUGCUCGGAUGGUGCUGUCGGUCGGAUGGCCACAUGCGGUAAUGACAUAGGUGGAGGA
rnacentral:lncRNA from 1 species